AGCUAGUUGGCAGGGUAAAAGCCUACCAAGGCAUAGAUCGGUAGCCGGCCUGAGAGGGCACACGGCCACACUGGCACUGAAACACGGGCCAGACUCCUACGGGAGGCAGCAGUGGGGAAUCUUGCACAAUGGGGGAAACCCUGAUGCAGCGACGCCGCGUGAGCGAUGAAGCCCUUCGGGGUGUAAAGCUCUUUCGGCAGGGAAGAUUAUGACGGUACCUGCAGAAGCAGCUGCGGCUAACUAUGUGCCAGCAGCCGCGGUAAUACGUAGGCAGCGAGCGUUGUUCGGAGUUACUGGGCGUAAAGGGUGUGUAGGCGGUUGCUUAAGUUUGGUGUGAAAUCUCCCGGCUCAACUGGGAGGGUGCGCCGAAUACUGAGUGACUAGAGUGCGGGAGAGGAAAGUGGAAUUCCUGGUGUAGCGGUGAAAUGCGUAGAUAUCAGGAGGAACACCGGUGGUGUAGACGGCUUUCUGGACCGUAACUGACGCUGAGACACGAAAGCGUGGGUAGCAAACAGGAUUAGAUACCCUGGUAGUCCACGCCCUAAACGAUGCAUAUUUGGUGUGGGUCAUUCAGUUGAUCCGUGCCGGAGCUAACGCGUUAAAUAUGCCACCUGGGGAGUACAGUCGCAAGGCUGAAACUCAAAGGAAUUGACGGGGGCCCGCACAAGCGGUGGAGCAUGUGGUUCAAUUCGACUACGCGAAGAACCUUACCUGGGCUCGAACGGCUGGUCAACGCCGGUGGAAACAUCGGUACCCCGCAAGGGGGUCCAGUCGAGGUGCUGCAUGGCUGUCGUCAGCUCGUGUCGUGAGAUGUUGGGUUAAGUCCCGCAACGAGCGCAACCCUUGUCCUGUGUUGCCAUGCCGAAAGGCGGAACUCGCAGGAGACCGCCAGCGAUAAGCUGGAGGAAGGUGGGGAUGACGUCAAGUCCUCAUGGCCUUUAUGUCCAGGGCUACACACGUGCUACAAUGGACGGUACAAAGCGCAGCGAACCCGCGAGGGGGAGCCAAACGCAAAAAACCGUUCUCAGUUCGGAUUGCAGGCUGCAACUCGCCUGCAUGAAGCUGGAAUCGCUAGUAAUGGCAGAUCAGCACGCUGCCGUGAAUACGUUCCCGGGCCUUGUACACACCGCCCGUCACAUCACGAAAGUGGAUUGUACUAGAAGUCUGCACGCCGACCCGCAAGGGGGGCAGCGGCCCAAGGUAUGACUCAUGAUUGGGGUGAAGUCGUAACAAGGUAGCCGUAGGAACCUGCGGCUG
rnacentral:rRNA from 1 species